CUGGAGCCAUGCGCAGCCAUGGCUGAGAACCCCGGCUUGGAGAACCAUCGCAUCAAGAGCUUCAAGAACAAGGGCCUCGAUGUGGAAACAAUACGAAGACACAGAAAUGAAGUGACAGUUGAACUACGGAAGAACAAAAGAGAUGAACACUUAUUUAAAAAGAUAAAUGUUCCCCAAGAAGAAAGUCUAGAAGACUCGGAUGUUGAUGCUGAUUUUAAAGCACAAAAUGUAACACUAGAAGCUAUAUUGCAGAAUGCCACAAGUGAUAACCCAGUGAUUCAGUUGAGUGCUGUCCAGGCUGCAAGAAAGCUAUUAUCCAGUGACAGAAACCCACCAAUUGAUGACCUAAUAAAAUCUGGGAUCUUACCAAUUCUAGUCAAAUGUCUAGAAACAGAUGAUAAUCCUUCAUUACAGUUUGAAGCUGCUUGGGCACUAACAAACAUAGCAUCAGGAACAUCUGCACAGACUCAAGCUGUUGUAGUCUAAUGCAGUACCUCUUUUUCUGAGACUUCUUCAUUCACCACAUCAGAAUGUUUGUGAACAAGCAGUAUGGGCCUUGGGAAACAUUAUAGGUGAUGGUCCUCAAUGUAGAGAUUAUGUCAUAUCACUGGGAGUUGUCAAACCUCUUCUGUCCUUCAUCAAUCCCUCCAUUCCUAUCACCUUCCUUCGGAACGUCACAUGGGUCAUUGUCAAUCUCUGCAGGAAUAAGGAUCCCCCACCGCCUAUGGAAAGAGUUCAGGAGAUUUUACCAGCAUUAUGUGUCCUCAUAUACCAUACUGACAUAAACAUUCUUGUAGAUACUGUUUGGGCUCUGUCAUACCUGACAGAUGGAGGUAAUGAGCAGAUACAGAUGGUUAUUGAUUCAGGGGUUGUGCCAUUUCUUAUUCUCAAUAAAUCUCUCCCUGAACCUGUUCAUGCAGUUUUGGCUAACCGCCAAGCUAUGCAGCAAACCGCGAAAACUUUGGCACAGAAGACAGAAGUUGAUUGCUGUUAUUUUUGCUGUUAA